CUUCAGCGACAGAUAUGGACGAAAUAUGAACUAUAAACGCAAGCGGGGAACGCUAUUCCUAUCAUGCGUUUAUCAUAACGAUAUAUAAGCUUAUGUUGGUUAUUACUCUCUCAUGCGUACAUAACAAUAGGUUUCGUUGGGUUAGAUAUGCGCGUUGCUUGAUCUAUUGACAAGUAAGUUUCAAUUCAUCGCAAAUACUACCGAUCGAUAGGUCUUACUACAUAGAAGUUACUGCAUUUGAAGAUUUUAGGGCUGACUGUAACUCUACUCUAAAAUCCACGUACCGCAAUGCCGUUCCACAAUGUCUUUCCGUUUCGAGAGCUUCAGACUUCUUAACUAACAGGAAAAUUGUGAGACCUCGCUGACGGAUAGCUCUACGGUUAGCUUCAGACAACGGAAUAUUAAGCACGACCAUUCGUGCUUUCCUAAUUUCGAACAAUAAAAAACGGAGUCCACGGUAAGACCUUUAAUCGCGCUUGAACACUCACGUGAGUUUUAGAAAAACGGUGACUAUACUCUACAAUCCGCGUUUCCGGGGUAACACAAAUAAUCAGACGGUUUAAUCGCGCCCGUGAACACCCAUUCCUGUGUCCAUUGACACGCGCAUGGGUAUUCUCCUAUUCUUCUCGUAUUCUCGCGUAAAAAUCGAUGAUGAACCGAGCCAUUCAACGAUACAUUGGACUCAUCCGACCGCAGAUGAAUUUAUUCCUCGAUGAUCCAGACUGGAGAAGAAGAAGAGAAGGAGAAAAUAAGAGAAAGACAAAAAAGAAAGACGGAAAGUGCGCGCACGUAACAACGAUGGAAUUCGGAAUGAGAGGUGGAAAUAUUAAAUAUCGCUCGAUGAUCCCUCGAUGAUCCCUGAAAAAGAAGAGGAGAAAAAAAGAAAUAUGAGAUAGAAAAGAGCCGGAGAAUGAAAAGAAAAGAGAGCCGAAAAAAGAAAAGGAGAGAGAACGAGGUGGACAUAUUGAAUCGCUCUACCCAAUCAAAAUCGGAGUAUCAAAAUCGAGCACAAUUUUCCUCUCUGAAAGGAGUCUCAUGCAAGGGUUCACACCGAAGAGCCCUUCCCAAGGGUCACAGUCGAGAACUUUACACAUGCUGAGACAGCAGCCCGCACAAAGGCUUACACCUAUGGGCCUAAUCCAUGGGUACCAUCCGAGACUUAUAAAUAAUAAUAAAAGUAAAUGAGAAUAAAUAGGAAUUACUGUGAAUAAACGUGCGAUAAAACAGUUUUCUAUGGGUUUCUUUAAGAAAUUAUUUUAGAAUUUUACUAUAUUUAAUCAUUUAUCUAUUGAAGUAUUAUUAGCAAUAUAAAAUGUAAGUACUUUAACAUAUAGUCAUAAUUAGAAUUAGAAAAAAAGAUUUUGGAAAAGCAUUGAAAUAUGCACCAAUACGCUCAGUAAUACUUGCAUCCCAUAAGAUUUCGAUAUAUUACAAGUACUACCAACCCAGGUCUCACCACGUUGCUGCAUCUGAAAACCCAUUUAUGACCUCCCGUAAAAAAAUCAAAGGUGUAUUUUCGAAGUUAUCAAUAUUAGAUCGAUAGUAUAUGUAUUAAUCGAUAGUAUAUGAUAGUACAUGUAUAUCUUUAUAAUGUAGAUCUUUAUAAUGUUACUAAGAAUGUCCUGUCGUUUAAAUGUUAGUAAAAUAAUCUUAAUUAUUAAUUAUUCGCGAUAUCGAACUAGCUGAAAAGAAAUAA